GCUAGUUCCCCCAAUACCUUUACCUGAAUUAUACAGGCCCCAAAGCCUGUCCAAGCUCUUACUAUUCCCUAACAGGUUAAGGCUCUGGUGUCGAAUGUUGCCCUGGUUACCUGAGACUUUCCAUGCAAUAUCCCACCUCUCCUUGUGAUGGACGAAUUCUGUGCAGGAUAAUGUCACCCUGCAGGGAUGAUACUCUAUUUACCUGGCCACUCUUCUGCCACUUCCCAAGGGGGGAAAUGAUAAGACACUGACUAUUAUUUUUUUUUUAGCCUUUUUCUUAUGUUCUGUUCCGGAUUUGCUGGACCAAGUAUCUCACCUCAACAAUGUCUGCACAAGAAGCUGAGCUAUAGACUCCCAUCACACCAUGCAAGAUCUCUGAAGGAAGACUGAACUCAGAGGAAGCAUGUGGCAGCUCUCUGGCUGACUAAGUUGUUCAAAAAGUUGUAAGUGCACUAAAGGAAGUGGACAGAAAAGUGUCUGCUGAAGAAACUCCCAUAUUCACCAUGUAAGAUCCUACCCACAGACAUCAAGCUCCCGAAGGAAUAACAAGCAAGCUACUGACCCUGGAAAGAAAGAAAAAACAAACAAACCACAAGCUGGAAACAGAAAGGGGCAACUCUUAAAGACAGGCUGUACUUCAACAAUCUCAAGUUAUACUUGCCCAAGAACAUAUACUCAGCAGUGGUCCAGUGGGCCUACGGAGCAUCUGUCCAGAACCCUCAUGAACUCUUUUGAUCAAUAAAUACUCUGAAGUACCAGGAAUUGAAUCUCUGACCAACAGUUACUGUAAAUCUUGUGCCAUUUGUGCCAAGGGCAACUCAAGAAGAAUGGAUGAAAGCCCCAAGCAUCUAGCCAAACCUCAUUAUCUCUUCCAGAGGAGUCAAGUCGCCAGAAUGCCAAAGAAUGGCUGAUUCAAAUAUGCACUAAUUAUAGCAGACAUGUUUUCAGGAUGGCCAGAGGCCUAUCCAGCCACCAAAGUGAUAACCAAGACCACAUGCUGAGUAGUGCACCGUGAAAGAUACAGAGAUCACCCCGUGGGUUCAUCAUUCCAGAAUCAAGCCUGCCUCUGCAUCAUGUGAAGUAACAUUUGUUGAUCUUGACAACCCUUUUUGAAACUCCAUUCUUAGAGAACAAAGAUACUUGUUGAAAAUAAAUAAAUAUCAACAAGUGGGUGUUUUGAUGGCCAUAAUAAUGCCUGACCACCUGCCAUCGAUGGAAAGCUGAAUACCCCAAAAGGGGACCUCGUGAAACUAAAGAGAAACAAAUAUACUCCUUACUCUGCAGCCCUCACGUCUGAGGUGCCAUACGCACAGUCAAAGCUUCUUCAAGAUCAUCUGCUUAUCUUGAGUUUGGGGUGAUAUUAAUAUUGAAUGUUUAAAUGAUCUGAAUCUGCCAGUACUAGGGUAGCAUGAGACAAGAUUUCUAAGAAUAAGUAAAUGUGCCCUAGCCUAGGUUAUUAUGUCCAUACACAUAACACAUGACAAUCCCCAAGGUACUCUUGACACACCUCAUUCAUGCUUCAGGACAAAAAGGAGUACCCCUAUAAAGGGUGGUUUUACCCACACAUAUAUAUAUAUAUAUAUGUAUAUUAAUGCCAUAGGGGUGUCAAGGGGGGUACCAAAUAAUUUUAAGGUAAGAAACUAAGUUUGAAUCUAUUCUCCCAAGCAUUACGGCUAAUAAAAUCUGAAUUGGAAGGGAAGAGGUUUAUACAAUAAACAGGAGACCUUUUUCUUACAGGACAUGUAUGACUCAGCUGAAUGGGUAGGUGCCACGCACAUGACUGUUAAUCCCCUCAAACCACACAUUAGGACUUUAAAAGACAUGGUAGUCAUCCCAUAUUUGAGGAUAAGAGG